rnacentral:rRNA from 1 species
AUACGGAGGAUCCGAGCGUUAUCCGGAUUUAUUGGGUUUAAAGGGUGCUCAGGCGGGACAUUAAGUCGGCGGUGAAAUUUUGCAGCUCAACUGUAAAAGUGCCUUCGAAACUGGUUUCCUUGAGUGUAGAUGAAGUAGGCGGAAUUUGUGGUGUAGCGGUGAAAUGCAUAGAUAUCACGAGGAACUCCGAUUGCGCAGGCAGCUUACUAAACUACUACUGACGCUCAGGCACGAAGGCGUGGGGAUCAAACAGGAUUAGAUACCCUGGUAGUCCACGCAGUAAACGAUGAUUACUAGCUGUUUGCGAUACAAUGUAAGCGGCUGAGCGAAAGCGUUAAGUAAUCCACCUGGGGAGUACGUUCGCAAGAAUGAAACUCAAAGGAAUUGACGGGG